UCAAGCGACUAAGCGCACAUGGUGGAUGCCUUGGCGGCAAGAGGCGAUGAAGGACGUGGUAGCCUGCGAUAAGCUUCGGGUAGCCGGCAAACAGGCUCUGAUCCGGAGAUUUCCGAAUGGGGAAACCUGGCCUUUCGAGGUCAUCACGCGCUGAAUACAUAGGCACGUGAAGCGAACCUGGGGAACUGAAAUAUCUAAGUACCCAGAGGAAAAGAAAUCAACCGAGAUUUCCAUAGUAGCGACGAGCGAACCGGAAAUAGCCCUUAAGUCGUGUUUUCGUUAGCAGAACGGUCUGGAAAGUCCGGCCAUAGAAGGUGAUAGCCCCGUACGCGAAAACGAAUACACGAUGAAAUCGAGUAGGGCGGGACACGUGGAAUCCUGUCUGAACAUGGGGGGACCAUCCUCCAAGGCUAAAUACUACUUGCCGACCGAUAGUGAACCAGUACCGUGAGGGAAAGGCGAAAAGAACCCCUGUUAGGGGAGUGAAAUAGAACCUGAAACCGCGUGCGUACAAGCAGUGGGAGCCUAGCUUCGGCUGGGUGACUGCGUACCUUUUGUAUAAUGGGUCAGCGACUUACAUCUCAGUGGCAAGCUUAACCGAAUAGGGGAAGCGUAGCGAAAGCGAGUCUUAAUAGGGCGCCUCAGUCGCUGGGAGUAGACCCGAAACCGGACGAUCUAGCCAUGGCCAGGUUGAAGGUCGGGUAAUACCGACUGGAGGACCGAACCAACUGACGUUGAAAAGUCAGUGGAUGAGCUGUGGCUAGGAGUGAAAGGCUAAACAAGUCCGGAGAUAGCUGGUUCUCCCCGAAAGCUAUUUAGGUAGUGCCUCGUGUCUCACUUCUGGGGGUAGAGCACUGUUAUGGCUAGGGCCACACCUAGUGGUACCAAACCAUUGCAAACUCCGAAUACCAGAAAGUGCAAUCACGGGAGUCAGACGGCGGGAGAUAAGUUUCGUCGUCGAAAGGGAAACAGCCCAGACCGCCAGCUAAGGUCCCCAAAUCACAGCUCAGUGGGAAACGAUGUGGGAAGGCCCAGACAGCCAGGAGGUUGGCUUAGAAGCAGCCAUCCUUUAAAGAAAGCGUAACAGCUCACUGGUCAAGUCGGCCUGCGCGGAAGAUGUACCGGGGCUAAGCUGUGUACCGAAGCUGCGGAUGCAAGCUUGCUUGCAUGGUAGGGGAGCGUUCUGUAGGCCUGCGAAGGUGUGCCGUAAGGCAUGCUGGAGGUAUCAGAAGUGCGAAUGCUGACGUGAGUAACGAUAAAGGGGGUGAAAGACCCCCUCGCCGGAAGUCCAAGGUUUCCUGCGCAACGUUAAUCGGCGCAGGGUUAGUCGGCCCCUAAGGCGAGGCUGAAAAGCGUAGUCGAUGGGCAACAGGUUAACAUUCCUGUACCACGCGUAAUUGCGAUGGGGGGACGGAGAAGGCUAGACCAGCCGGGCGACGGUUGUCCCGGUUUAAGCAAGUAGGGAGUGUUCCGAGGUAAAUCCAGGAGCGCAAUCCCGAGAUGUGAUGACGAGGUUUCUUUUGAAACCGAAGUGGUUGAUGCCAUGCUUCCAGGAAAAUCCUCUAAGCUUCAGAUUACGUGUGACCGUACCCCAAACCGACACAGGUGGACAGGGCGAGAAGCCCAAGGCGCUUGAGAGAACUCGGGUGAAGGAACUCGGCAAAAUGACACCGUAACUUCGGGAGAAGGUGUACCCUCAUUACGUGAUAGCCCUCGCGGCUAAAGCGGAAGAGGGUUGCAACAAAGAGGUGGCUGCGACUGUUUAUUAAAAACAUAGCACUCUGCAAACUCGCAAGAGGACGUAUAGGGUGUGACGCCUGCCCGGUGCCGGAAGGUUAAUUGAUGGGGUUAGUCUUCGGACGAAGCUCUUGAUCGAAGCCCCGGUGAACGGCGGCCGUAACUAUAACGGUCCUAAGGUAGCGAAAUUCCUUGUCGGGUAAGUUCCGACCUGCACGAAUGGCGUAACGAUGGCCACACUGUCUCCACCCGGGACUCAGUGAAAUCGAAAUUGCUGUGAAGAUGCAGUGUACCCACACCAAGACGGAAAGACCCCGUGCACCUUUACUACAACUUCACACUGGACUUUGAACAUGGCUGUGUAGGAUAGGUGGGAGGCUAUGAAACCAGGACGCUAGUUUUGGUGGAGCCAACCUUGAAAUACCACCCUGUUAUGUUUGGUGCCCUAACCGAAAUCCGUUAUCCGGAUUCGGAACA
rnacentral:rRNA from 1 species